rnacentral:rRNA from 1 species
CUCCUUCGUGGAGCAGAGUGCACAGGUGGUGCAUGGUUGUCGUCAGCUCGUGUCGUGAGAUGUUGGGUUAAGUCCCGCAACGAGCGCAACCCUUGAUCUUAGUUGCCAUCAUUAAGUUGGGCACUCUAAGGUGACUGCCGGUGACAAACCGGAGGAAGGUGGGGAUGACGUCAAAUCAUCAUGCCCCUUAUGACCUGGGCUACACACGUGCUACAAUGGACGGUACAAAGAGCUGCAAGACCGCGAGGUGGAGCUAAUCUCAUAAAACCGUUCUCAGUUCGGAUUGUAGGCUGCAACUCGCCUACAUGAAGCUGGAAUCGCUAGUAAUCGCGGAUCACCAUGCCGCGGUGAAUACGUUCCCGGGUCUUGUACACACCGAGGA